GGGGGUGUAGCUCAGCGGGAGAGCGUCUCGCUUGCACCGAGAAGGUCAGGGGUUCAAUUCCCCUCACCUCCA
rnacentral:tRNA from 1 species